rnacentral:rRNA from 1 species
AUUGAACGCUGGCGGCAGGCCUAACACAUGCAAGUCGAACGAGUGGCGGACGGGUGAGUAAUGUCUGGGAAACUGCCCGAUGGAGGGGGAUAACUACUGGAGACGGUAGCUAAUACCGCAUACCAUCGGAUGUGCCCAGAGGGGAUUAGCUUGUAGGUGAGGUAACGGCUCAACUCUGCGACGCUCCCUAGCUGGGCUGAGAGGAUGAGCAGCAACACGGGAAGUGAGACACGGUGCAGACUCCGACGGGAGGCAGCAGUGGGGAAUAUUGCACAAUGGGCUCAAGCCUGAUGCAGCCAUGCCGCGUGUAUGAAGAAGGCCUUCGGGGUGUAAAGUACUUUCAGCGGGGAGGCGUUACCCGCAGAAGAAGCACCGGCUAACUCCGUGCCAGCAGCCGCGGUAAUAC